rnacentral:lncRNA from 1 species
UUGGAUCCAGGCCUACCCCGGCCUUUCCCCUCAUUCUGGGCCGGGAAAAACAUGUGGAAAAUAUCCACGAGAUGGCGCAGGAUGCAGCGCGUGCGGCGGCGGGCGACUCAAAGGCGACGGCGACGGCGAGGUGGCGCUCUCCCCUCCGGUGGCCACCUUAUCACCGGUGAGUCUCUCUUCCUUCCCCUCUCCUCUUCCAUGUGGGUGGCCAUGACCUAGGGUUUUCUUCGAGCUUGUGUUCCUGGCUCACCCCGACAACCAUCCUCGCUGCUCGGUACUGAGGAUGGGCCAGUGCCGCUACCUGAGCCUGUGUUGAUUAGUGAAAAAUCAAAAGUGGGAGAAGAUAAUUUAAUUCUAAACAUAUUGCAAUUUAAUUCUGCUUCGUUCUCCUUAGAAAAUCAUUUGGACGAUUACUGAAAGUAUAGUAGCAAUAUAGUGGGAGAAGAUUUUUAAUAAGUAUUUGCUGCAGAUUUCUUUUAAUACUAUGGUGAGACAUCCUCAAGGUAUGUCUCUGAACUUUGGCCACAUUUGCUGACAGUAAAAGUGCAAUCACUAUACAAUUUGGGCAAAUACUCUUUUUUAUGUAAUUAAACUGGGUAUAUACUAGGAGUGGCAAAAUAAGAAUUUAAUUAGAUAAUUAUACUAAAUUUACCAGAUUGUGUAUGAGUGGAAAUAAGGACAUUAUGCAUGUUUAUAACUUGUGAGGGCUGAUGUGUUCCAAGCAACUUCCUAGGAUGUCAGUGUGGAAUAGAACUUUUUUUUUGUUUUGAUCUGUCUGAUCUUGGAUGUUUUAUUUUAUUGGCUGUUUCCUAGGUCACUUAAUUGAAGCAUGGGUUUUUCUUGCUCAAGCACAAUUUUAUCCAACUGUUUGUGGUAAGCAUCUAGCUGACCUUGACAACUAAUAAGAUCUUUGUUCAUGAUCCAGAUGAAACGGGCUAUUGUGAAGGUGAUGGGGUGAGUGUACUGGCUUGAGGGGUUUGUGAGGCUUAUGUUCUUGGAUGACCAGACAUUCUAAUUAUGAGAAACGUCAAGGGCCUAAUUGUGAGGGUGGCAUCCUCACCCUGUGGCAUUAAUUGAUGCUGCUGCUAUAUUUUUGCAUGAAUUCAGACAUGUUUGUGAAAUCAUUAUCUUUGAGCUCUAGGCCUUGAUGAUACUACAAUAUCAUUGUUUUAAUGAUUAAUCCAUAGUGCAAUUCUUGCACUGAGACAUCAGACGUGGUUAUGUUAGCUGAAUUGAUGCAUGUGUGAAAUUGAUGCAUGUGCCA